GACGAACGCUGGCGGCGUGCCUAAUACAUGCAAGUAGAACGCUGAAGAGAGGAGCUUGCUCUUCUUGGAAGAGUUGCGAACGGGUGAGUAACGCGUAGGUAACCUGCCUUGUAGCGGGGGAUAACUAUUGGAAACGAUAGCUAAUACCGCAUAACAAUGGGUGACCCAUGUCAUUCAUUUGAAAGGGGCAACUGCUCCACUACAAGAUGGACCUGCGUUGUAUUAGCUAGUAGGUGAGGUAACGGCUCACCUAGGCGACGAUACAUAGCCGACCUGAGAGGGUGAUCGGCCACACUGGGACUGAGACACGGCCCAGACUCCUACGGGAGGCAGCAGUAGGGAAUCUUCGGCAAUGGGGGCAACCCUGACCGAGCAACGCCGCGUGAGUGAAGAAGGUUUUCGGAUCGUAAAGCUCUGUUGUAAGUCAAGAACGAGUGUGAGAGUGGAAAGUUCACACUGUGACGGUAGCUUACCAGAAAGGGACGGCUAACUACGUGCCAGCAGCCGCGGUAAUACGUAGGUCCCGAGCGUUGUCCGGAUUUAUUGGGCGUAAAGCGAGCGCAGGCGGUUUGAUAAGUCUGAAGUUAAAGGCUGUGGCUCAACCAUAGUUCGCUUUGGAAACUGUCAAACUUGAGUGCAGAAGGGGAGAGUGGAAUUCCAUGUGUAGCGGUGAAAUGCGUAGAUAUAUGGAGGAACACCGGUGGCGGAAGCGGCUCUCUGGUCUGUAACUGACGCUGAGGCUCGAAAGCGUGGGGAGCGAACAGG
rnacentral:rRNA from 1 species